AUUGAACGCUGGCGGAAUGCUUUACACAUGCAAGUCGAACGGCAGCACGGGGUCAACCCUGGUGGCGAGUGGCGAACGGGUGAGUAAUACAUCGGAACGUGCCCGGUCGUGGGGGAUAACGUAGCGAAAGUUACGCUGAUACCGCAUACGAUCUGAGGAUGAAAGCGGGGGACCUUCGGGCCUCGCGCGAUCGGAGCGGCCGAUGUCAGAUUAGGUAGUUGGUGGGGUAAAGGCCUACCAAGCCGCCGAUCUGUAGCUGGUCUGAGAGGACGACCAGCCACACUGAGACUGAGACACGGCCCAGACUCCUACGGGAGGCAGCAGUGGGGAAUUUUGGACAAUGGGCGCAAGCCUGAUCCAGCCAUACCGCGUGCAGGACGAAGGCCUUCGGGUUGUAAACUGCUUUUGUAUGGAACGAAAAGGCUCUGGCUAAUACCUGGGGCUCAUGACGGUACCGUAAGAAUAAGCACCGGCUAACUACGUG
rnacentral:rRNA from 1 species